AGGACGAACGCUGGCGGCGUGCCUAACACGAUGCAAGUCGAGCGGGGACAUGCGACGGAUUGAAGAUUCGGUUGGAGAUGAAGAUGUAUGUUCUAGCGGCGGACGGGUGAGUAACGCGUGAGCAACCUGUCCCUUACAGGGGGAUAACACAGCGAAAGUUGUACUAAUACCGCAUAAGACCACGAUGGGACAUCCCAUAGGGGGUCAAAGGAGAAAUCCGGUAAGGGGUGGGCUCGCGUCCGAUUAGAUAGUUGGUGAGGUAACGGCCCACCAAGUCGACGAUCGGUAGCCGACCUGAGAGGGUGAUCGGCCACAUUGGGACUGAGACACGGCCCAAACUCCUACGGGAGGCAGCAGUGGGGAAUAUUGGGCAAAUGGGGGAAACCCUGACCCAGCAACGCCGCGUGAGGGAAGAAGGUUUUCGGAUCGUAAACCUCUGUCCUUGGUGAAGAGGAAGAGACGGUAGCCAAGGAGGAAGCCCCGGCUAACUACGUGCCAGCCGCGGC
rnacentral:rRNA from 1 species